CUUUUACCUUCAUAUGUGAGCAGGUAGUCCAGGCUGACUGAUCCAUGUAAGCUGCUGAGACGACACUGGUACUUGCCCAGAUGUUUGUUCGUAGCGUUGGUGAUGGUCAGUGACACUCUGCUCUCGUCCCCUGCACUUCAGAGAAAGGACAGUUCCCUCUCUGCUCCAAGUCACGGUGUAAUCAGAGAAGACGGCAGCGAACUGACACCACAAGCACAGACUCUGGGGGUCUCCACUCACAGACGCUGCCUGGAUCGGCUGCACCACCUUCAGUUUGUUCUUUAGGUGUUGGCUUGCAGCUAGUGAUGGCGAGAUGAAGCUUCAUGAAGCACUGAGGCUUUCCAUCCAGUUGGUUCACUCAUGGGUCGAAGCUUCAUGGUGCUUCAUUUGCUCUACUGCGCCAUCAAGUGGACAAAUAAAAGUAAAACAGGCAGAGUGCCUAUAAUGACACACUGGCUUUGCUAUGUGAAGCUUUGAAUUGUGUUUAAACGAUAAUGCCAAUAAACAAGUAAUAUACUUAAUAUAUUGUCUGUCUUCCCUGAUAGCAGAGAUAGAGGGGGGAAGUGGAAAAAAAUGGGGAGAGAUUUGAGAUUUGUAGUUUGACUGCUUGAUUGAGGUCAGGUUCUGGUUUUCUGUAAAGUGUUUAAAUACUUUUAAUUGUAAUAAGGGCAACAUAAAUAAAAUGUGCUUGUGCUUCUU